AAGUCGUAACAAGGUAACCGUAGGUGAACCUGCGGUUGGAUCAUUAACAAAUGGAAAAGGACUUCAGUCUGGUUUCGUUCGUUCGUUCGUUCAAGUGAACAUUUUGUGAACUGUAAAGUCUCUGGCGGCUGGGUGCAACUAACCUUAGGGCCAUAUUGCAUCUGUCAACCGCCAACCAUCUGUUUUGACUUGAUGUAUUUAAUUUUUUCAUCUAACAUUUACUUGUAUAAAUAUACAAACAACUUUUGGCAACGGAUCUCUUGGCUCUC
rnacentral:misc_RNA from 1 species